UCAUUAGCAUUCUGUUGUAUGUAUUUAAACACAUAUAACCAUCAACGCUCACACUCACACCUAGGGACAAUUUAGGGAGUUCCAUUAAUGUGCCAUGCAUGUUUUUGGAAUGUGGGAGGAAACCAGAAUUGAGAGAAAACCCACACAUGUACAGGGAGAACAUGCAAACUCCACAGAGGGAGGCUGGAGCCGGAAUCGAACCAAUUGUGGGGUCGACGUGCUAACCACUCGAUCACCGAGGCCGCCCUAGCAAUAUAUCUCUCCACAAUUAUGUUGUUGCUAAUGAAAUAUCUAAAAAUUAAUUUGUCAACCAUUAAUAAGUCACAGUCCAAACUUUUUUUGCUUUCAUAUUAAAUCACACAUCAUUAAAAAACCCUCAGUGUUACAAACAAGGAUUUAUGAUUACUUGCAAGUCACGAACAUAACAAAUAAAUAUGAAUUUGUGCGAUGACUAAUUCCAAUUACAGAAUAUUACACACACUCAUACAGCAGUUACAUAGAAACAGCUAGCUAGCGAAAGUUUUGGCUGGCUUUCUAUUGCGCCUAAGUACGCUGUGAGGUUGUUCCCAUGUUAGUAAUCAUCGCCUGCAUGGCGGAAAAUAAGCCACGUUUAUGACUGAUGUCACAUUCACGAAGGGAUGAUGAGAAAAGACAUGAUAGUUCUGCUAAAUGUCAAGCUAACCGACAAUUGACAUGGCUAGCACAUUUCACACCGCAAUUAAGUGCUUGGGUGAUUGAUGACACUUUUCACAGAUGUCUGGCUGUAAACGCCUUAAAGCAGAAAACAUACAACUUUGAGCAGCCAAAGAGCAAGACAAUUAUUCAGUGUCUGUAUUCUGGAGAGAAAAUCAUACACGCUAAACUGAAAUAGAGCUGAAAAUGAAUUAACUUCUGUUAAGGAUGCAUGUAUAUGAACUUAGCAAGAAAUGUUUAUAUUUAUUUUCACAAAAGAGUCCUGAGUUUUUGACUUUGACUUUUGAGGUCUGCACAAUAAAUCGAUUCCAUUACAGCAAAGCUAUGUUUUUCUUUACAAUGAAUUCAGCAUUGCUUCUGGACAAUCAAAGAAAGUUUGCUGUUACACGCAAUGUGAAUUUCAGAAAAAAAAUACCAUUAAAAAAACAAACAAACAAUUGUUCAUUCAUUAUAUUGUCAGAUUUUUAUUUUUUAAUAAAACCCUUGCUGCAGUUCCCUGGGGGAAAAAAACAAUUCUCCUACACAUUUUUGUUAAUAGAAAGAUCUCUUUCAUUUCUUUUAUGCAACUGAAUUUGAUUUAUAUGAAGUGUUCUCAAAACUACUGUGUUUGUGUCUAAGCGGUCAGUGGGAGCCAAGUCAAAAUACUGGAUGUAAAUAAUUGAGUUUUGUUUGGAUAUGUUUGGACACAACAUUUGCUUUGCACCGUAGUUUACUUACAAAGAAGAUUUACAUAUCCUGAAUUUGACAGGGUGCCGCACACAGAUUCACACGUAGUGUCUUUAUAACAUGCACACGUGCACGCUGUUUACCUAAGGGUGAGAUCUUCCGACAACGAUGAUGAUGAU